GCCAGUGUGGCACAGUGGUUUGUAUGUUGGACUACAUCUCUGGAGGCCAGGGUUUGAUUCCCAGCUCAGCCA